rnacentral:ncRNA from 1 species
AAACAAAUAGGUUUGGUCCUAGCCUUUCUAUUAACUGUUAGUAAGAUUACACAUGCAAGUAUCCCCGCCCCGGUGAAAUCACCCUCUAAAUCACUACGAUCAAAAGGAGUAAGUAUCAAGCACCUAUUAAUGCAGCUCAAAACACUUUGCUCAGCCACACCCCCGCGGGAGACAGCGGUGAUAAGCCUUUAGCAAUAAAGGAAAGUUUAAGCUAUACUGACACCCAGGGUUGGUUAAUUUCGUGCCAGCCACCGAGGCCAUACGAUUAACCCAAGCUAAUAGAGACCGGCGUAAAGAGUGUUUUAGGUUUGCCCUCAAUAAAGCUAAGUUUCAUCUAAGUUGUUAAAAACCCUAGCUAAUAUAAAAUAAAUUACGAAAGUGGCUUUAAUACUUCUGAAUACAAAAUAGCUAAGACCCAAACUGGGAUUAGAUAUCCCACUAUGCUUAGCCCUAAACUUCAACAAUUAAAUUAACAAAACUGCUCGCCAGAACACUACAAGCACUAGCUUAAAACUCAGAGGACUUGGCGGUGCUUCACAUCCCUCUAGAGGAGCCUUUUCUUUUUUUUUUUUUUUUUUUUUUUUGAGACGGAGUCUCGCUCUGUCGCCCAGGCUGGGGUGCAGUGGCCAGAUCUCAGCUCACUGCAAGCUCCGCCUCCCGGGUUCCCGCCAUUCUCCUGCCUCAGCCUCCCGAGUAGCUGGGACUACAGGCGCCCGCCACCUCGCCCGGCUAGUUUUUUGUACUUUUUAGUAGAGACGGGGUUUCACCGUGUUAGCCAGGAUGGUCUUGAUCUCCUGACCUCGUGAUCCGCCCGUCUCGGCCUCCCAAAGUGCUGGGAUUACAGGCUUUAGAGGAGCCUUUUCUAUAAUCGAUAAACCCCCAUUCACCUCACCACCUCUUGCUCAGCCUAUAUACCGCCAUCUUCAGCAAACCCUAGUAAAGGCCACAAAGUAAGCACAAGUAUCUACAUAAAAAUGUUAGGUCAAGGUGUAGCCUAUGAGGUAGUAAGAAAUGGGCUACAUUUUCUACCCCAGAAAAUUCCAUGAUAACCCUUAUGAAACCUAAGGGCCCAAGGAAGAUUUAUCAGUAAAUUAAGAACAGAGUGCUUAAUUGAAUAAGGCCAUAAAGCACGCACACACUGCCCGUCACCCUCCUCAAGUAUAUUUUAAGGACUAACUUAACUAAAUCCCCUGUACAUUUAUAUAGAGGAGAGAAGUCGUAACAUGGUAAGUGUAACGGCGGAUGUUGAAGGUUUUGAGGA